GCAGAUGUGGCGGAAUUGGUAGACGCGCUAGCUUCAGGUGCUAGUGUUCGUAAGGACGUGAGAGUUCGAGUCUCUCCAUCUGCACCA
rnacentral:tRNA from 1 species